UACAGAGGUCCCAAGCGUUGUUCGGAUUCACUGGGCGUAAAGGGUGCGUAGGUGGCGAGGUAAGUCGGAUGUGAAAGCUCGGAGCUCAACUCCGAAAUGGCAUUGGAAACUACCUUGCUCGAGGGUUGGAGGGGGGACUGGAAUUCUCGGUGUAGCAGUGAAAUGCGUAGAUAUCGAGAGGAACACCAGUAGCGAAGGCGGCUCGCUGGGCCAUUCCUGACGCUGAGACGCGAAAGCUAGGGGAGCGAACAGG
rnacentral:rRNA from 1 species